rfam:Paracoccidioides sp. &apos;lutzii&apos; Pb01 unplaced genomic scaffold supercont2.15, whole genome shotgun sequence.
GGCCGGCUGGCGUAAUGGCUAACGCAUCCGUUUCCGGUUCCACGUCCUGUCUGCGGAAGAUUGCAGGUUCGAGUCCUGCGCCGGUCG